rnacentral:rRNA from 1 species
GUCGUGAAGAGGGAAACAACCCAGACCGCCAGCUAAGGUCCCAAAGUCAUGGUUAAGUGGGAAACGAUGUGGGAAGGCCCAGACAGCCAGGAUGUUGGCUUAGAAGCAGCCAUCAUUUAAAGAAAGCGUAAUAGCUCACUGGUCGAGUCGGCCUGCGCGGAAGAUGUAACGGGGCUAAACCAUGCACCGAAGCUGCGGCAGCGACGCUUAUGCGUUGUUGGGUAGGGGAGCGUUCUGUAAGCCUGUGAAGGUGUACUGUGAGGUAUGCUGGAGGUAUCAGAAGUGCGAAUGCUGACAUAAGUAACGAUAAAGCGGGUGAAAAGCCCGCUCGCCGGAAGACCAAGGGUUCCUGUCCAACGUUAAUCGGGGCAGGGUGAGUCGACCCCUAAGGCGAGGCCGAAAGGCGUAGUCGAUGGGAAACAGGUUAAUAUUCCUGUACUUGGUGUUACUGCGAAGGGGGGACGGAGAAGGCUAUGUUGGCCGGGCGACGGUUGUCCCGGUUUAAGCGUGUAGGCUGGUUUUCCAGGCAAAUCCGGAAAAUCAAGGCUGAGGCGUGAUGACGAGGCACUACGGUGCUGAAGCAACAAAUGCCCUGCUUCCAGGAAAAGCCUCUAAGCAUCAGGUAACAUCAAAUCGUACCCCAAACCGACACAGGUGGUCAGGUAGAGAAUACCAAGGCGCUUGAGAGAACUCGGGUGAAGGAACUAGGCAAAAUGGUGCCGUAACUUCGGGAGAA